rnacentral:rRNA from 1 species
UACAGAGGGGGCAAGCGUUGUUCGGAAUUACUGGGCGUAAAGGGCGCGUAGGCGGCCUUCUAAGUCGAACGUGAAAUCCCCGGGCUCAACCCGGGAACUGCGUCCGAUACUGGGAGGCUUGAAUCCGGGAGAGGGAUGUGGAAUUCCAGGUGUAGCGGUGAAAUGCGUAGAUAUCUGGAGGAACACCGGUGGCGAAGGCGGCAUCCUGGACCGGCAUUGACGCUGAGGAGCGAAAGCCAGGGGAGCAAACGGG